GACGAACGCUGGCGGCGUGCUUAACACAUGCAAGUCGAACGGAAAGGCCCCUUUGGGGGUACUUGCGUGGCGAACGGGUGAGUAACAAGUGCGUAACUUGCCCUUGACUUCGGGAUAACUUCAGGCAACUGAGGCUAAUACCGGAUAGGAAUCCUUGCUGCAUGGUGGGGGUUGGAAAGCUUCGGCGGUUUUGGAUGGACUCGCGGCUUAUCAGCCUGUUGGUGGGGUAGUGGCUUACCAAGGCUUUCACGGGUAGCCGGCCUGGGAGGGCGACCGGCCACAUUGGGACUGUGAGACGGCCCAGACUCCUACGAGAGAGAGCAGUGGGGAAUAUUGCGCAAUGGGCGGAAGAGUGAGGCAGCGACGCCGCGUGCGGGAUGACGGCCUUCGUGUUGUAAACCGCUUUCAGCAGGGGCGAGGCGUGUGGUGACGGUACCUGCAGAAGAAGCACCGGCUAACUACGUG
rnacentral:rRNA from 1 species